UUCCGGUUGAUCCUGCCGGAGGCCAUUGCUAUCGGAGUCCGAUUUAGCCAUGCUAGUUGUGCGGGUUUAGACCCGCAGCGGAAAGCUCAGUAACACGUGGCCAAACUACCCUGUGGAUGGGAACAAUCUCGGGAAACUGAGGCUAAUUCCCAAUAACGCUCCACCCCUGGAACGGGCGGAGCUGGAAACGCUACGGCGCCACAGGAUGUGGCUGCGGUCGAUUAGGUAGACGGUGGGGUAACGGCCCACCGUGCCAAUAAUCGGUACGGGUUGUGAGAGCAAGAGCCCGGAGACGGAAUCUGAGACAAGAUUCCGGGCCCUACGGGGCGCAGCAGGCGCGAAACCUUUACACUGUACGCAAGUGCGAUAAGGGGACUCCGAGUGUGAAGGCAUAGAGCCUUCACCUUUGUACACCGUAAGGUGGUGUACGAAUAAGGGCUGGGCAAGACCGGUGCCAGCCGCCGCGGUAAUACCGGCAGCCCGAGUGAUGRCCGAUAUUAUUGGGCCUAAAGCGUCCGUAGCUGGCCGGACAAGUCCGUUGGGAAAUCUGUUCGCUUAACGAGCAGGCGUCCAGCGGAAACUGUUCGGCUUGGGACCGGAAGACCUGAGGGGUACGUCCGGGGUAGGAGUGAAAUCCUGUAAUCCUGGACGGACCACCGGUGGCGAAAGCGCCUCAGGAGGACGGAUCCGACAGUGAGGGACGAAAGCUAGGGUCUCGAACCGGAUUAGAUACCCGGGUAGUCCUAGCUGUAAACGAUGCCCGCUAGGUGUGGCGCAGGCUACGAGCCUGCGCUGUGCCGUAGGGAAGCCGAGAAGCGGGCCGCCUGGGAAGUACGUCUGCAAGGAUGAAACUUAAAGGAAUUGGCGGGGGAGCACUACAACCGGAGGAGCCUGCGGUUUAAUUGGAUUCAACGCCGG
rnacentral:rRNA from 1 species